UAAAUAUUUAAUUAGAAUAGAAGUUAGCUUAGUAUCCAUGUGGCAAAGAAGCGAGCUAAAGCAUAUAGGUCGUGGAACAUUUUCGGGUAAUACAUCGUAUAGUGAGUAGCUACAUUUUGUACAAGCAAAGAAGAUGUGGUCCAAGUUGCCCUCAUCCAACCCACAUUCACACAAUGAGUUCGCACGGACACCAAUCAUAGCCAGAAAUAAUGGAGUACAUACUUUGCCUAAGCGUAAACGGCAAAUGGUGGAUAUUACCCACUUUGGAGAAGUACGGAAUCGAUAGAACCAUGGUUUUCGAGUAAUUCGAGGUUGUACACAGCCAUAAUGUUUACCAGUCUCCAAUCUAGAGAUAUCCCAUUGCCUCUGCCAUGUAUUAAACAUAUCAGAUAGCGCACCACUCAACAGCCUCAAGAAUAGCAACUGCCUCACCUGUGAAAAUGGACGCUUGAGGAGGACAUUUAAAUGGAAGGACGAUAUUGUACCGUGGAAUCCACACCGCUGCUCCCACACAUCUUGCAGGAUCCACCUUAGAAGCGUCAGUAAAAACCGUGACCUCCAGUGCCAGCGCCUGCAAGCGUGGGAGCAGCAAGUGGUUGUUGUAAGAGCUGGCUUUGAUCAAGAACCUGUCGGCGAGGUAUUGUCUGCGUAGAGCCAACGGCGGUUCAACACCUUCCACCUGCAUGCCAUUUUUGGGAGAGGGAAGCAUAGCACCUAGUAUGAUCCUUAAACAUUUAGCCUGUAUAAGAUCUAAUUUAUCUAGACCAUCCUUAUUACAGGGUUCCAUUAAAAAUGACCCAUAGUCUAUAUGGCUACGUAUGAUGGCAUUGUAUAGUAGCUUCUGGCAAUAAGGAUGGGAGCCCCACCAGACACCUGACAAUGCUCGAAGAAUAUUAAUAUUUUUCUCACAUUUACCCAGUACAUAUUUGUGGUGUGAGGUGCCAGACAUUUUAUGAUCUAAAAUAACACCUAGAAAUUUUACUGACUCUUUAUUUGGAAUCAUCACACCACCAUAACGGACAUCUGCGUCAGGCAUGGUCCUUCUGCGACUGAAAGUCACUACACAGCUUUUUGUUGGCGAUAGGGUCAAACCAUGUUCAUCAAGCCAAUCCUUGAGGUAACCCAAAGCUGUAUUAAGACUAGCAGUGGCUUUGUCCAUUGACUUUGCUGAGGUGUAUAA